CGCCGUUCUCAGGGCGGGGUGAAAUUCCCCACCGGCGGUAAGCAGGCCUAGUCCCGUAAGCCCGCGAGCGGCUUCCGGUCAUCUGGAAGUGUCAGCAGAUCUGGUGCAAUUCCAGAGCCGACGGUUACAGUCCGGAUGGAAGAGAAGGUAC
rnacentral:ncRNA from 2 species